CCUUGAGCCGACCAGACGUGAUAUAAUCAUAUGGUACUGAGACGCCUCGAAGCAAGAGCUGUUUGGAUCUUCAUUUAAAAAGGUAUGGCACUGUCUCUCGCAGCUCUCCAGUUCACCAUGGAGGCGUGGGUUCGGUUCCCUGCUGAGUUACAUAUAAUAUAAAGAGUCGGCAUACGACGGGCUCUUCUUAUACUGAACAGGCGUACCAGGCAGGCUCGCAGUCCAUCUGAAUUUCCCAAUACUAGGUUCAUCCCCAAGCAUAAAGUGGGAUUUCUGACCAACUUGGAACAAAGUUGGAAUACAGCAACCCUGCCCGACAGAAAUCUGUACAUCCUAAGGCUCCUAGACGCUCUCUAAUGCACUGGUGAAUAACAAUCACUGCAAAUUGAAAACGGAAACCAACAAAAGCUUA
rnacentral:misc_RNA from 1 species